GUGGGGAAUUUUGGACAAUGGGCGCAAGCCUGAUCCAGCAAUGCCGCGUGCAGGAAGAAGGCCUUCGGGUUGUAAACUGCUUUUGUACGGAACGAAACGGUCCGGGUUAAUACCCUGGGCUAAUGACGGUACCGUAAGAAUAAGCACCGGCUAACUACGUGCCAGCAGCCGCGGUAAUACGUAGGGUGCAAGCGUUAAUCGGAAUUACUGGGCGUAAAGCGUGCGCAGGCGGUUUUGUAAGACAGGCGUGAAAUCCCCUGGCUCAACCUGGGAAUUGCGCUUGUGACUGCAAGGCUGGAGUGCGGCAGAGGGGGAUGGAAUUCCGCGUGUAGCAGUGAAAUGCGUAGAUAUGCGGAGGAACACCGAUGGCGAAGGCAAUCCCCUGGGCCUGCACUGACGCUCAUGCACGAAAGCGUGGGGAGCAAACAGGAUUAGAAACCCGAGUAGUCC
rnacentral:rRNA from 1 species